AGUGAACGCUGGCGGUAGGCCUAACACAUGCAAGUCGAACGGCAGCACAGAGGAGCUUGCUCCUUGGGUGGCGAGUGGCGGACGGGUGAGGAAUACAUCGGAAUCUACUCUGUCGUGGGGGAUAACGUAGGGAAACUUACGCUAAUACCGCAUACGACCUACGGGUGAAAGCAGGGGAUCUUCGGACCUUGCGCGAUUGAAUGAGCCGAUGUCGGAUUAGCUAGUUGGCGGGGUAAAGGCCCACCAAGGCGACGAUCCGUAGCUGGUCUGAGAGAAUGAUCAGCCACACUGGAACUCAGACACGGUCCAGACUCCUACGGGAGGCAGCAGUGGGGAAUAUUGGACAAUGAGCGCAAGCCUGAUCCAGCCAUACCGCGUGGGUGAAGAAGGCCUUCGGGUUGUAAAGCCCUUUUGUUGGGAAAGAAAUCCAUCUGGUUAAUACCCGGGUGGGAUGACGGUACCCAAAGAAUAAGCACCGGCUAACUUCGUGCCAGCAGCCGCCGUAA
rnacentral:rRNA from 1 species